CAGCAGUAGCCGCGGUAAUACAGAGGGUGCGAGCGUUAAUCGGAUUUACUGGGCGUAAAGCGUGCGUAGGCGGCUUCUUAAGUCGGAUGUGAAAUCCCUGAGCUUAACUUAGGAAUUGCAUUCGAUACUGGGAAGCUAGAGUAUGGGAGAGGAUGGUAGAAUUCCAGGUGUAGCGGUGAAAUGCGUAGAGAUCUGGAGGAAUACCGAUGGCGAAGGCAGCCAUCUGGCCUAAUACUGACGCUGAGGUACGAAAGCAUGGGGAGCAAACAGGAUUAGAUACCCCCGUAGUCCCUGUCUCUUAUAC
rnacentral:rRNA from 1 species